UACAGAGGGGGCAAGCGUUGUUCGGAAUUACUGGGCGUAAAGGGCGCGUAGGCGGCCUGCUAAGUCGAACGUGAAAUCCCCGGGCUCAACCCGGGAACUGCGUCCGAUACUGGCAGGCUUGAAUUCGGGAGAGGGAUGUGGAAUUCCAGGUGUAGCGGUGAAAUGCGUAGAUAUCGGAAGGAACACCAGUGGCGAAAGCGGCUUCCUGGUCCAGCACCGACGUUCAGGCACGAAAGCGUGGGGAGCAAACAGG
rnacentral:rRNA from 1 species